rnacentral:rRNA from 1 species
AUUAAAAACCAAUGCCCUUCGGGGCUCUCUGGUGAUUCAUAAUAACUUCUCGAAUCGCACGGCCUUGUGCCGGCGAUGGUUCAUUCAAAUUUCUGCCCUAUCAACUUUCGACGGCUGGGUCUUGGCCAGCCGUGGUGACAACGGGUAACGGAGGGUUAGGGCUCGACCCCGGAGAAGGAGCCUGAGAAACGGCUACUACAUCCAAGGAAGGCAGCAGGCGCGCAAAUUACCCAAUCCCGACACGGGGAGGUAGUGACAAUAAAUACUGAUACAGGGCUCUUUUGGGUCUUGUAAUUGGAAUGAGUACAAUUUAAAUCCCUUAACGAGGAACAAUUGGAGGGCAAGUCUGGUGCCAGCAGCCGCGGUAAUUCCAGCUCCAAUAGCGUAUAUUAAAGUUGUUGCAGUUAAAAGGCUCGUAGUUGAACCUUGGGCCUGGCUGGCCGGUCCGCCUCACCGCGUGCACUGGUCCGGCCGGGCCUUUCCUUCUGGGGAGCCGCAUGCCCUUCACUGGGUGUGUC